AGCAGAGCUCACACAAGGACGCAGGGCUUGUGAGCGUUUCUGGAGAGGAAGUUCUCCUCACAGAGAGAGGGAAACAGCAGAUGGCAGGCACCAUGGAGCCCCCUUCAGGCCCUGCAAGCAGGAGGCAUGUGCCCUGGAGCAGACUCCUGCUGGCAGUCUCACUCUUAACUUUCUGGACCCCGCCUACCUCUGCCCAGCUCACUAUUGAAACGGUGCCCCGGCUUGCUGCAGAAGGGUCGGAUGUUUUUCUAGUUGCCCACAACGUGACAAAGAUUCCUCUAGCCUAUUCCUGGCACAGAGGAGAAAGGGUAGAAAACAUCAAGCUAAUUGCAUCAUAUAGAGUAGAUAAUGAUGCAACUGUCUAUGGGCCUCUGUACAGCAAACGGGAGGCACUUUACCCCAACGGAACCCUGCUGAUCCGGAACGUUGCCCAGAAAGACACAGGAUCCUACACCCUGCUCGUUACAAAGAAUGAUUUACAGACAGAAAGACAGAUUGGACACCUCCAUGUAUACCCGGUGCUACCCACACCCGUCAUCACCAGCAACAACUCCAACCCCAGGGAGCACGAGGACACUGUGGUGUUAACAUGUGGAUCUGAGACCCAGAACACCUCCUACAUGUGGUGGAUCAACAGUCAGAGCCUCCCCAAGAGCAUGAGACUGGAACUGUCCAAGGACAAGAGGACUCUCACACUAGUCACCGUGACAAGGAAUGACACAGGACCCUAUGUGUGUGAAGCCCGGAACCCAGUGAGUGUCAGCCGCAGUGACCCAUUCACCCUGGAUGUCCUCUGGCAAGAAAACAGCCGAGCCCUCGGCGUGGGGGCCAUUACUGGCAUCGUGAUUGCGGUCCUGCUUGUGCUGACGCCGCUGGCUGGCCUGGGGUGUUUCAUUUUCCUUCACAGGUUUUUCUUCCCUAACCCCGGCUGCCUGCAAAACAGAGGGAACUGGCCCCCAGCGUCCACCUAGGACGUGGUCCCUCCGGCAGCUCUGUCUCCCAGGCCUCCCGACCUGAUGCCAGGCCAACAGUUCCCAUCUACCAGGAAUUACUACACCCGAACACAGAUGUUUAUUGUCAUAUCAGCCACAAAGCAGAUGUGGGUCCUUAGUUCCUCCAGACUCGUCUCCUUAACAAACUGUGGGAAAGAGCUUACCUGAGACCCAAAUCCUGAGUGAGGUCAAGAGGAAGAGCCUGAGGCAGAGAACCAGCUCUGAGACCUGAGGCUAUUCAGGAGCCUGGGCCCAGGCUCAGGGUCCUCCUGGAUUCCUGGAGACCCUGACAGGCUGCCCUGAACCCUAGAUGGACCAGAACUCAGGCUGUGAUUCCCACAGUGGGGAGAGGUUUCAACAGGGCAAGUGACUGGGACCGUGACCCACUGCGGACCACCAGAGAGAUCUGAAUAAAGAGCACUUUCCUUUUGGCUGCAAAAUAUAGUGACCUUGGGUCCAGUCCAGCAAGAAAUUCACAUGAAUCUCUGCUCUGGUCUCUCCAUGGUUCCUCAGGGAAAGUAUCAGCUCUAGUUACCUAACCUCUGCAUCUAUUUCCUGGAGGAAACGAAGGGGAAGAAUGUGAGAAUGGAGGGAGGGGGCAUGCUAACAGGAAAGGAGGGUCACCAGACCCUUCGCAGGCACGUGGGCAUCGGCAGUCCUCACACUGCCCUGGGGUCCCAGCACCUCCCAGUGCCUGCUCACCUGGCAUGGGGUCUCUGGAGAAUAGAAUAUGGGUCCAUCUGAGACCCAGUAGAACCCGAGUCAGGAAGGACUAGGCGUGGGUGAGACCAUAUUAUGGGUGAGGCCCCUUUGCAGCCUCUUGGUGUCCUGAGCCCUCUAGCCCUCCUCUCCAGGCCCUGC